GAUGAAGAACGUAGCGAAAUGCGAUAAUUAAUGUGAAUUGUAGAAUUCCGUGAAUCAUCGAGUCUUUGAACGCACAUUGCGCCUCAUGGCAUUCCGUGAGGCAUGCCCAUCUCAGCGUUAGAAAAUAUUCUCAAAUUUUAGUUUUGUGCUAAAAUUUGGAUCAUGUCAAAGAAGCUAUUACUAUUAUUGUGAUCGCUCUUUGGAAAUUGAUAGGUCUUUGAGUUGCUACUCAUAGAACGUGAUGAAUCUUUCUUCGUUCUAUUGUAAUUCACUCUGGUAGUCCUAAAACUUGUAUGCCUGUGGCAUAUCUUGUAAUUUGACCUGAGAUUGGGUAGGGAUACCCGCUGAACUUAAGCAUAUCAAUAAGCGGAGGA
rnacentral:misc_RNA from 1 species